CCUACGGGAGGCAGCAGUGAGGAAUAUUGGACAAUGGGCGCAAGCCUGAUCCAGCCAUGCCGCGUGCAGGAUGACGGUCCUAUGGAUUGUAAACUGCUUUUGCACAGGAAGAAACAACAUUACGUGUAAUGUCUUGACGGUACUGUGAGAAUAAGGAUCGGCUAACUCCGUGCCAGCAGCCGCGGUAAUACGGAGGAUCCAAGCGUUAUCCGGAAUCAUUGGGUUUAAAGGGUCCGUAGGCGGUUUAGUAAGUCAGUGGUGAAAGCCCAUCGCUCAACGGUGGAACGGCCAUUGAUACUGCUAGACUUGAAUUAUUAGGAAGUAACUAGAAUAUGUAGUGUAGCGGUGAAAUGCUUAGAGAUUACAUGGAAUACCAAUUGCGAAGGCAGGUUACUACUAAUUGAUUGACGCUGAUGGACGAAAGCGUGGGUAGCGAACAGGAUUAGAUACCCUGGUAGUCCACGCCGUAAACGAUGGAUACUAGCUGUUGGGAGCGNUCUCAGUGGCGUAGACGAAGUAGAUAAGUAUACCCACCCGUCGGGGUAGGUACGGUUCGUCGAAGAAGUAGAACGUAACAAACGUAGUAAGUUAGUACGGACGUUGAGACGUUAGCCGACGGACGACCGACGAGGGGAGGGUAGGGNG
rnacentral:rRNA from 1 species